rnacentral:rRNA from 1 species
CCAAACCGACACAGGUGGUCAGGUAGAGAAUACCAAGGCGCUUGAGAGAACUCGGGUGAAGGAACUAGGCAAAAUGGUGCCGUAACUUCGGGAGAAGGCACGCUGACACGUAGGUGAAGUGAUUUACUCACGGAGCUGAAGUCAGUCGAAGAUACCAGCUGGCUGCAACUGUUUAUUAAAAACACAGCACUGUGCAAACACGAAAGUGGACGUAUACGGUGUGACGCCUGCCCGGUGCCGGAAGGUUAAUUGAUGGGGUCA